rnacentral:rRNA from 1 species
AUUGAACGCUGGCGGCAGGCCUAACACAUGCAAGUCGAACGGAUCGGCGGUGGGGGGCGUAAGGCCUAGGAAUCUGACUGGUGGUGGGGGAGGGGGUCCGGGAAGGGGCGCUAAUACCGCAUACUAUCAGAUGAGCCUAGGUCGGAGUAGGUAGUGGGUGGGGUAAAGGCCUACCAAGGCGACGAUCCCGAACUGGUCUGAGAGGAUGAGCAGUCACACUGGAACUGAGACACGGUCCCGACUCCUACGGGAGGCAGCAGUGGGGAAUAUUGGGCAAUGGGCGCAAGCCUGACCCAGCCAUGCCGCGUGUGUGAAGAAGGCCUUCGGAUUGUAAAGCACUUUCAGUUGGGAGGCGUUACCCACAGAAUAAGCACCGGCUAACUUCGUGCCAGCAGCCGCGGUAAUAC